AUGGGGAAGCCACCUGCUCUGGCUCUGCCCAGCCGGGGAGGAGCACCCAGUGCUACCACAGCCCCAAACUGGGGUAACCACAUCCAGAACCAGCAGCUCCGUGGGCAGAGGCUGCGGUGCCAGGAGGGGUGUGGGGAUGGAGUCCUGCAGAGUGACCCCGGCCAUGGGGCUGGGACUGAGCAGGAUGGGGGACAGCCAGGUAAGGAGCCGGGUACCCUGCUCACCUCCGUGCCCCUCUGCAUCCCUGCUCAUGUCUGUGCCCCUCUGCAUCCCUGCUCACCUCUGUGCCCCUCUGCAUCCCUGCUCACCUCCAUGCCCCUCUGCAUCCCUGCUCACCUCUGUGCCCCUCUGCAUCCCUGCUCACCUGCCCCUCUGCAUCCCUGCUCACCUCCAUGCCCCUCUGCAUCCCUGCUCACCUGCCCCUCUGCAUCCCUGCUCACCUCCGUGCCCCUCUGCAUCCCUGCUCACCUCCAUGCCCCUCUGCAUCCCUGCUCACCUCUGUGCCCCUCUGCAUCCCUGCUCACCUCCAUGCCCCUCUGCAUCCCUGCUCACCUCCAUGCCCCUCUGCAUCCCUGCUCACCUGCCCCUCUGCAUCCCUGCUCACCUCUGUGCCCCUCUGCAUCCCUGCUCACCUGCCCCUCUGCAUCCCUGCUCACCUGCCCCUCUGCAUCCCUGCUCACCUCCAUGCCCCUCUGCAUCCCUGCUCACCUCUGUGCCCCUCUGCAUCCCUGCUCACCUGCCCCUCUGCAUCCCUGCUCACCUCUGUGCCCCUCUGCAUCCCUGCUCACCUGCCCCUCUGCAUCCCUGCUCACCUGCCCCUCUGCAUCCCUGCUCACCUCCAUGCCCCUCUGCAUCCCUGCUCACCUCUGUGCCCCUCUGCAUCCCUGCUCACCUGCCCCUCUGCAUCCCUGCUCACCUCUGUGCCCCUCUGCAUCCCUGCUCACCUGCCCCUCUGCAUCCCUGCUCACCUCCAUGCCCCUCUGCAUCCCUGCUCACCUCUGUGCCCCUCUGCAUCCCUGCUCACCUGCCCCUCUGCAUCCCUGCUCACCUCUGUGCCCCUCUGCAUCCCUGCUCACCUGCCCCUCUGCAUCCCUGCUCACCUGCCCCUCUGCAUCCCUGCUCACCUCCAUGCCCCUCUGCAUCCCUGCUCACCUCUGUGCCCCUCUGCAUCCCUGCUCACCUCCAUGCCCCUCUGCAUCCCUGCUCACCUCUGUGCCCCUCUGCAUCCCU
rnacentral:lncRNA from 1 species